CACAAGGUGUGAUAUGCAAUUAUGAUCCCUUUAAGAAUCAUAUCAAUAUCUGUAUUUUUCCAGGUCCAAAAGGGCAGAAAGGAUCUCCAGGCUUCCCAGGACCAUCAGGUGACCCUGGGCUUCCAGGCUAUGGUGGCUUUCCAGGUGACAAAGGAGAUCCUGGGUACCCAUCUGUUGGGCCUCCAGGAGAAGCUGGUCCAAAGGGAGAUCCAGGUCCUCCAGGAGUUCUUGGCAGCAAAGGAGAAAAAGGAUCCCAGGGUCAUCCGGGACGUGAAGGAGCAUCAGGACCACGUGGGAUCAGAGGGGAAACUGGAGGUGCAGGAAUCCCAGGAAAGUGUGGACCCCCUGGAGAUACUGGUGCUAAAGGACAGCAGGGCCACCCAGGACAGCGGGGCAUUCCAGGCCCUCCUGGUAUGGUGUAGAGCAUCUCUCCUGAAUCACUGCCCCCUGCUUUGGGAUUUUAUUUCAACUUGAGGUUUUG
rnacentral:lncRNA from 1 species